UCCUCCAGCUAAAAUAAAUGCACUUGUAAGGAGAAAUUAACUGCAUGCACACACACCUGGAGUAGCCCCUCCUAUGUCCUAACCAAAGCCUGGGUAUUUCCUUGCAGGGCUACUGCUCAGAAAAUAUCUGCAUAUCAAGACUGGUGAAUUGCACUCUCCUGUUCCCCUCAACCAGCCACCUGCCUGGUUGCUUCUCACUACACAGGCUCCUGUCAUUAAAUGACCCACACACACACAAUUAUUGGAAGGUUUCUGUCAUCCCCUGAAAAGUUUGGCUCACAGAGGUUCUCAGUCUCUCUCUAAGAACAGGAAAAGCAGCCAGCCAGGUUCCUACUAAUCCGCUCCCUGGAGGAGAUUAACACUGCAGGGCGUUCAACCCCUGUUGUGCCAACAGCUGUGCCUGGUUAGGGGCCGUUACCAUGCAGUGCUAGCCCCCAGUCCCAACAAGGGGCACAGGGAAGAAGUGAAUGUGCCACUGCAGUGACAAAGGAGAUCAGCUAACACAAAAUGAACAGAGAAGAGGCACAGAUCAUAGAGUCAAACAAGGGACCCUUGGAUAAUGCAACCAGUUGAUUCCACAUGGACAGAUGAGGCCUCGGUCAAGUCGUAUGGCUCCAUCUUGCCUCAGUUUCCCCAUCUCUCCAGUGCAGGACUGAGGCAUCUGGAAGGGCAGCAGUGUAUGGAGGAUGCUUGCCUUGCCACAGCCUGUGUGGCAUCUAUUUUAUGGAGCAGCCGGUUUCAUGCGGCAGGGCUGCCACCCUAGUGUUGAACUCAUUGUAACCCCUGAGAAAAUGGCCAGGACACUCCAAAGGAGGGGGCAUUCAUUAUCUGUGCACAUGGACAAGGUGAGACAAGCCAUCAGCUACAACAGUACAAAUUCACACAGCCAGAUUUUUCAGCUAUUCUCUAUUGGAGUCUCAACAUUUACAUUCAAACUCAGGACAGCAUCUGGUUUUCUGCACCCUAAUAGCCAGCCCACCCCACCCAAUAUGGGCUGGGGGGAUCAGCAGACAGACUGAAAAAUGAGGAGGAGGAGAAGAUGUGAAUUUCCUUGAUGGAGUGUUAAUGUGGAAGUCUAAUUAAAGCUCACAGACAUAUCAA